UACGGAGGGUGCAAGCGUUAUCCGGAUUUACUGGGUUUAAAGGGUGCGCAGGCGGAUAUGUAAGUCAGUGGUGAAAUCUCUGGGCUUAACCCGGAAAUUGCCAUUGAUACUAUAUAUCUUGAAAUGCUGUGGAGGUAAGCGGAAUAUGUCAUGUAGCGGUGAAAUGCUUAGAGAUGACAUAGAACACCUAUUGCGAAGGCAGCUUACUACGCAGAGAUUGACGCUCAUGCACGAAAGCGUGGGGAUCAAACAGG
rnacentral:rRNA from 1 species